rnacentral:rRNA from 1 species
CUAUUAAAACAUAACCUUUCCUCCUGACUGAAAGUGCUUUACAACCCGAAGGCCUUCUUCACACACGCGGCAUGGCUGCAUCAGGCUUGCGCCCAUUGUGCAAUAUUCCCCACUGCUGCCUCCCGUAGGA